rnacentral:rRNA from 1 species
CAGUCGCCGCGGUAAUACGAAGGGUGCAAGCGUUACUCGGAAUUACUGGGCGUAAAGCGUGCGUAGGUGGUGGUUUAAGUCCGUUGUGAAAGCCCUGGGCUCAACCUGGGAAUUGCAGUGGAUACUGGGUCACUAGAGUGUGGUAGAGGAUAGUGGAAUUUCCGGUGUAGCAGUGAAAUGCGUAGAGAUCGGAAGGACAUCUGUGGCGAAGGCGACUAUCUGGGCCAACACUGACACUGAGGCACGAAAGCGUGGGGAGCAAACAGGAUUAGAUACCCGAGUAGUCCCUGUCUCUUAUACA